rnacentral:misc_RNA from 1 species
AAGUCGUAACAAGGUUUCCGUAGGUGAAUGUCGGAAGAAUCAUUAACACGUAUCCAAACGUAAACAAUCCCCCCGUGAACAUUCAAUCCCGAACCCGCGUAGUUCGCAAUCUCUGGUAAAUCAUAGCCCGGAAAGUAGUUUUGAUUCAGAGACCUCUGGCUACGUGAGAACCUUGGAACAGUUACAAUCGAGCGGUAGUUUCCCCCAAGCGGUCAGUGUCUGAAAGUGUCACUGAUUGUGCAAGGAUAGCGCUUCAACGAUCCUGUACACCGUACACUCGGGCAGGAGCUAUGCCAAAGGGUCCCCAUGCCCCCUUAUAACCCCACAGUUUAAUGUCAAGCUCAAUGUAAUACAUUGGGUAAAAAAAGCGAACAACUGC